GGGGGUGUAGCUCAGCGGGAGAGCACCUGCUUUGCAAGCAGGGGGCCAAGGGUUCGAUUCCCUUCACCUCCACCA
rnacentral:tRNA from 1 species